CCGGGGCCGGGGAGCCGCCCGCCACGCCCGCGGGGCUGGGCUCGGGGGGAGACCGCGUCUGCUUCAACUUGGGCCGUGAGCUCUAUUUCUACCCAGGCUGCUGUCGUCGUGGGAGCCAACGGUCCAUUGACCUCAACAAGCCAAUUGACAAGCGGAUCUACAAGGGCACCCAGCCCACCUGCCACGAUUUCAACCAGUUCACUGCUGCCACCGAGACCAUCUCGCUGCUGGUGGGCUUCUCAGCGGGUCAAGUGCAGUACCUGGAUCUCAUCAAAAAGGACACCAGCAAGCUGUUCAAUGAGGAGGUGAUUGCAGCCCCCAGAGCCCCCAACUUCUCUGCCUUCUCACCUACCCACUAUAUGCCAUUAGGAUGCAGCUGCCUGCGGAACAGUGUAGGCCUGAGAGGGGCAGGACCAGGGAGAGAUGGAGAAUGGGGUGACAGCAGCUAAUGACAGCUGCCUUUACUGUACCCAGGCCCUGUGCUGUGUUACCCUUGUGCUGAAUACUUUACUCCUUGGGUUUUCUUUCUUUCUUUCUUUCUUUUAUUUAUUUAUUUUGAGAUGGAGUCUCACCCUGUCACCCAGGCUGGAGUGCAGUGGCGCGAUCUCUGCUCACUGCAAGAUCCACCUCCCGGGUUCAUGCC
rnacentral:lncRNA from 1 species